rnacentral:rRNA from 1 species
AUAACGGUCCUAAGGUAGCGAAAUUCCUUGUCGGGUAAGUUCCGACCCGCACGAAUGGUGUAACGAUCUGGGCACUGUCUCAACUACCCACCCGGCGAAAUUGUAGUACCGGUGAAGAUGCCGGUUACCUGCGGCAAGACGGAAAGACCCCAUGGAGCUUUACUGUAGCCUGAUAUUGGGUUUCGGAAAUCUAUGUACAGGAUAGGCGGGAGACUGGGAAACAUGAGCGUCAGCUUGUGUGGAGUCGAUGUUGGGAUACCGCCCUUAGGUUUCUGGAAUUCUAACCUGCGGCCGUGAAUCCGGUCGGGGGACAUUGUCAGGUGGGCAGUUUGACUGGGGCGGUCGCCUCCGAAAAGGUAACGGAGGCGCUCAAAGGUUAGCUCAGCACGGACGGAAACCGUGCCUCUGAGUGUAAACGCAAAAGCUAGCCUAACUGCGAGGGUGACGGCCCGAGCAGUAACGAAAGUUGGAGUUAGUGAUCCGGCGGUAUGUGAAUGGAAAUGCCGUCGCUCAACGGAUAAAAGCUACCCUGGGGAUAACAGGCUGAUCUCCCCCAAGAGUUCACAUCGACGGGGAGGUUUGGCACCUCGAUGUCGGCUCAUCGCAUCCUGGAGCUGAAGUCGGUUCCAAGGGUUGGGCUGUUCGCCCAUUAAAGCGGUACGCGAGCUGGGUUCAGAACGUCGUGAGACAGUUCGGUCCCUAUCUGUUGCGGGCGCAGGAAUAUUGAGAGGAGCUGUCCUUAGUACGAGAGGACCGGGAUGGACGUACCGCUGGUGCACCAGUUGUUCUGCCAAGGGCAUAGCUGGGUAGCUAAGUACGGACGAGAUAAACGCUGAAGGCAUCUAAGCGUGAAACUCCCCUCGAGAUAAGUGUUCCCAUCCUUCGGGAGUAAGGCCCCUUGUAGACUACAAGGUUGAUAGGUCAGGAGUGGAAGUGCAGUAAUGUAUGGAGCGGACUGAUACUAAUAGGCCGAGGGCUUGACCU